ACACACACACACGCAGGCAAAAUACCAAUGUGCAUAAAAUAAAAAAUAAAUCUUAAUAAGAUUAAAGUCAUUAGCAUACUCAAAAUAGGAGGCUGGGGGAGAUCAGUCACACGGUAGGUAGGCGGGUCAGUGCACACAGGGUAGGUAGGCGGGUCAGUGCACACAGGGUAGGUAGGCGGGUCGGUACACACACGGUAGGUAGGUGGGUCGCUGCACACAGUAGCCAGGUCAAAUAAAGCCUGGACAUUACUGCAUUUACCACAGAACCCACAAAUGACCUUCACAAGACAAGUUUUGGUUGAAUGCAAAGCUGUGGUUUAGGGCAGGUUCAAGAAAAAUGGAAGGAGGAACUGGAGGCAGACUAUAAAAUGUGUGUGUCCUGCCAAAGGCCAAAGUCUUAUGUGUAAGUACUCUUUGUCUUACUGUUUCUGAUCUUACAGUCAGCUAGACUGGCUAGCAAGCCCCAGGGAUCCCAUCUCCACUCCCAGCACCAGAACGAUGGGCCUGUUUUACUCUGUAUCUGGCUUUUUCUGUCAGUGCUGGGGUCUGAGCUUGGGUACUCAGGCACAGUGACAGAGCCAUCCCCACUCUCAUCCCAUAACUAAACAUUUUUUCCUUUUUGACAGCAUUUAGCAUUAUAGCCGUGGCUGGUGCAAACUCAGAGAUCUGCCUGUCUGUCUCCCAAGAGCUGGGUUUAAAGGCCUAGCUCGAAGCAAACCCUACAGAGUUCUUCUGUACAGGUGAAUACAGAAGUGGAGCAGCGGCUGGAGCCUGAGGGAGCUGCCAGCCAGGGCUCUGUGCGCACUCAGGAAUGACUCACAGAGCAAACAGUUCCCAGUGCACAGCUGACAGGUGUCUAGAGCCAUGUCCUCGAAGAGAUGGGAUCUAUGCAGUGACAGGGGACUGGCUGCACACAGCUAAUCCCUGUCAACAGAAAGCAGAGAACAUGGAGGUUUCAGAUCUGCUGCCACCUGAAGUCGCCAACCUGCUUAUUUGCUCUAGGCCUGCCCAGACAGGGGCCACUCCGUACCGUCCUCCUUCCCACGGGAACCCCCUCUGGAGUUCUGUCCCUCUCUCCUGCCUCUCCUGUGCCCGGAUCGCCGGCCGCUGGGUGAGGGAGACCUGGAUGGAAAGGUCACAACUUGCGGGUAGCUCCAGCCUGGCACGGUCUUCUUGCUUCUGUUCCGAUCAGCUGCACCAUGGGAAAUGUUCUUUUUCUUUCUUUUAAACUGGGAAAGCACUGAAAAUUUCUUAACUUUCUCAAAAUCAGUUUUUGCUUUGAUAAAAUAAGAAUAAAACUUGCUUGGUGUGUUGAGAACUAA